rnacentral:rRNA from 1 species
ACCCGCACAAGCGGUGGAUGAUGUGGAUUAAUUCGAUGCAACGCGAAGAACCUUACCUACCCUUGACAUGUCCGGAACUUGCCAGAGAUGGCUUGGUGCCCGAAAGGGAAUCGGAACACAGGUGCUGCAUGGCUGUCGUCAGCUCGUGUCGUGAGGUGUCGGGUUAAGUCCCAUAACGAGCGCAACCCUUACCGUUAGUUACCAUCAGGUUAAGCUGGGGACUCUAGCGGGACUGCCACCGUAAGGUGAGAGGAAGUGGGGAUGACGUCAAAUCAGCACGGCCCUUAUGUCCAGGGCUACACACGUGUUACAAUGGCCAGUACAAAGGGCAGCUACCGGGUGACCGGAUGCUAAUCUCUAAAGCUGGUCUCAGUUCGGAUCGAAGUCUGCAACCCGACUUCGUGAAGCUGGAUUCGCUAGUAAUCGCGCAUCAGCCAUGGCGCGGUCGAAUACGUUCCCGGGCCUU